rnacentral:rRNA from 1 species
UACGAAGGGGGCGAGCGUUGUUCGGAAUUACUGGGCGUAAAGGGCGCGCAGGCGGUUCUUCAAGUCAGAUGUGAAAGCCCCGGGCUCAACCUGGGAAUUGCGAUGGAGACUGCAAGGCUUGAAUCUGGCAGAGGGGGUAGAAGUUCCACGUGUAGCAGUGAAAUGCGUAGAGAUGUGGAGGAACACCGAUGGCGAAGGCAGCCCCCUGGGUCAAGAUUGACGCUCAUGCACGAAAGCGUGGGGAGCAAACAGG